rnacentral:rRNA from 1 species
ACGUAGGUGGCAAGCGUUGUCCGGAUUUACUGGGCGUAAAGAGCGCGCAGGCGGUCGUCCAAGUCGCGUGUGAAAGCCCCCGGCUCAACUGGGGAGGGUCACGCGAUACUGGUCGACUCGAAGGCAGGAGAGGGUAGUGGAAUUCCCGGUGUAGUGGUGAAAUGCGUAGAUAUCGGGAGGAAGGCCGGUGGCGAAGGCGGCGCUCUGGAACAUUUCUGACGCUGAGGCACGAAAGCGUGGGGAGCAAACGGGA